UACGGGAGGGGCAAGCGUUGUUCGGAAUUACUGGGCGUAAAGGGCGCGUAGGCGGCUUGGUCAGUCCCGUGUGAAAUCCCUCGGCUCAACUGAGGAACUGCACGGGAAACUGCCUGGCUUGAGUUCGGGAGAGGGAAGCGGAAUUCCGGGUGUAGCGGUGAAAUGCGUAGAUAUCCGGAGGAACACCGGUGGCGAAGGCGGCUUCCUGGACCGACACUGACGCUGAGGCGCGAAAGCUAGGGGAGCAAACGGG
rnacentral:rRNA from 1 species